AAGCGUGGCCACGUUGAAUCGCGUCACGAAGUGUCGGAGCAUCUCGUUUUCUCCCUGUUUGAGGGAAAAAAGGUUGUCCAAGGUUCGUGGCAGUUUUCGACUGGUGCUGAAGUGGGCCACGAAAGAGUGCUCGAGCUGCCUAAAGGAGUGGAUACUUUUCGAUCGAAGACUGGAGUACCAGGCCCUGGCAGCUUUGCAGAGCGU
rnacentral:lncRNA from 1 species